rnacentral:rRNA from 1 species
AUUGAACGCUGGCGGCAUGCUUUACACAUGCAAGUCGAACGGCAGCGCGGGCUUCGGCCUGGCGGCGAGUGGCGAACGGGUGAGUAAUACAUCGGAACGUGCCCAGUAGUGGGGGAUAGCUCGGCGAAAGCCGGAUUAAUACCGCAUACGACCUGAGGGUGAAAGCGGGGGAUCUUCGGACCUCGCGCUAUUGGAGCGGCCGAUGGCAGAUUAGCUAGUUGGUGGGGUAAAGGCCUACCAAGGCGACGAUCUGUAGCUGGUCUGAGAGGACGACCAGCCACACUGGGACUGAGACACGGCCCAGACUCCUACGGGAGGCAGCAGUGGGGAAUUUUGGGCAAUGGGCGAAAGCCUGAUCCAGCAAUGCCGCGUGUGUGAUGAAGGCCUUCGGGUUGUAAAGCACUUUUGGCGGGAACGAAAAGGACUGUGCCAAUACCACGGUUCGAUGACGGUACCCGCAGAAUAAGCACCGGCUAACUACGUG